UGAACAAUUCUCUUUUUUAGUCUGACAC
rnacentral:piRNA from 1 species